AGGUAUGGGCAAAUGGUUACAGCCGACCUCAGCCCGAGAGUGGUGCGUUCCGACUCCGAGUACCAGACAGCACAGUGGUCUCGUGCCGACCCUCAAAACCCUCUCCUUUGAUCCGCCGGUCCGGCCGUGUGCAAAUUUCUAAAAGAGAGCAAGAGUUUAGAGAGAGAUAUGGUGACAUCGCCGGUGGUGAACACCUACCCACUCUCGAGCUACACCUUCGGCACCAAGGAGCCCAAGAUGGAAAAGGACACUUCCGUCGCCGAUCGCCUUGCGCGCAUGAAAGUCAACUACAUGAAGGAAGGCAUGCGAACUAGUGUGGAAGGAAUUUUAGUGGUGCAGGAGCAUAAUCAUCCCCAUAUUCUUCUCCUGCAAAUUGGAAACACAUUCUGCAAACUUCCUGGUGGACGUCUGAAGCCUGGGGAGAAUGAGAUUGAAGGUUUAAAAAGAAAACUAAACAGCAAACUUGGUGCAAAUUCUCCAGCUCUUCAGCCAGACUGGCAGAUAGGUGAGUGUGUUGCCAUCUGGUGGAGACCAAAUUUUGAGACCAUAAUGUACCCGUACUGCCCACCUCAUAUAACUAAGCCAAAGGAAUGCAAGAAACUUUUCCUUGUCCAUCUUUCUGAAAGAGAGUACUUUGCAGUGCCAAAAAAUUUGAAACUUCUUGCUGUUCCAUUGUUUGAACUAUAUGAUAAUGUCCAGAGAUAUGGGCCUGUCAUAUCUACAAUUCCACAGCAGUUGUCAAGAUUUCAGUUCAAGAUGAUCCAUGCAUAAAUGUGGGCUUCGCGGUUUCAACCUGAAUAGAAGAGUUUUGACUUCAUCAGUUCCCAAUUUUUCAGAUGUGUUACAGAGAGUUUAUCCAAUGCAUACUACGGAUGAAUCAGUGAAGUUCAGGCCUUUGUCAAGAUUAAAAUUCCUAACGAUAGUUCUUCAAGAAGAUCAAGGGUUUGUAAAAUUCUCAAUCUGAUAUUGAGAAGAUGUCAUGUUGCAUCAACUAGGUACUUGAUGCAAAAUUAGCUCAUGAUAAUUAGACAGCUAGUGGGAUUUGAAACUUAAAAACUAUAUGUAACUUGCAGAAAUUGCCUAAAGCGGGCAACAAUAAUAUUAAUGAUUUAACUUAGAACUUCACAACUAUAAAUUCCCACAGCAAAAUGGUUAGCAUUUAUUGUUUUCAGAUAUUAGGUCAAUGUACAUCUCUUGCCUUUCACGCUAAAUGUAAAAUCUUGAAUAACCGGAUAAAAAAAGGAAAAAAAGUUAUGAUUGUUGUAGCGAUCGUGCCUAAACUAUAAGGUGGCCAAAUUUAACCCUAUAAAAAUAUCACUACCGUAUUAUUAUUCAACUAAAGAAUUUCAGGACUCUGUUUCUAUACUCAGAGAUGUGACUUCUUAGCUUUACUGCGAUUUCGGUUGAGCAAGCAGGGGGGAAACCAAAGCUGUAAACACCAGAUUAUAUAUGUGUGGGCCAAAAAUUACAAGAAAGUGGAAUGAAAGUACAAAAGGAGAUGCAUGGAAUGGUUCGUUCAGAUAAUAACAAAGGCCAAGCCGAAAUAUCCCCAUGUCUUCUUACCAUUAGAUAUCACAAUUCCGUUCCCACAUAAGUAAGAUAAACCAUCACCACAACAUUAGGCCACAUCUCACAAUGCAGAAUAGCUAUUUUCAUCUUCAGGAGGAGCCUCCGACAAAACCGUCAGCACCACAAAGACUCCAAAGAGGACUGUGACAACGGCGGUGAAGUUGACAAGGAAGGCCUCGGAGCCAUACUUAGCAAGCCCAGAGUUCUCGAGGAAUGUCAGCUUCUCAAGAAAUCCCAGCGCGGCAUUGCCUACUGCCAGCACGUAAGCAAGAAGCCCCACGAUCACGUGCCAUGGGAGCGACCCCCUUCUGAUUGCAGGCGUGCCCCCGGGGAAGAAGAAGACCACGAAUCCAUAGAUCCACUGCAAAUUGUGCCCCCAUUAGCACUGCAAACUCAGAAUGGAAGAGAUCUGAGAGGAGCUGGCAGGUGAAUUUAGAUUUACCUGAAUACCAUACAGCACAAUGAUUCCCAUCCCAAGCCAGGAAUGUAAGCUGUAUAGAUUGGCAAUGUUGCUCUCAUUGUGAUACUUGAAUGCUGCAUAAAUGCCCACUAUGCCAAGUACCAGUGCAACACCAUGGAGGACUAGAUGGAUUAGUUUCUUCACCUCUUUCUUCAAUGUAAGAGCUUUGUAACUUAUAAUGGCUGCAAAGGGAGAGACAAGAGAAAGAAUUGCUCAGUUUGUUGAAUCUACAAAGCAACCAUGGAAGAUGGAACCAUGAGAUAGAGAUAGAUAAUUUUUUGAUUA